rnacentral:rRNA from 1 species
UACGAAGGGGGGCUAGCGUUGUUCGGAAUCACUGGGCGUAAAGCGCACGUAGGCGGAUCUUUAAGUCAGGGGUGAAAUCCUGGAGCUCAACUCCAGAACUGCCUUUGAUACUGGGUGUCUAGAGUAUGGAAGAGGUGAGUGGAAUUCCGAGUGUAGAGGUGAAAUUCGUAGAUAUUCGGAGGAACACCAGUGGCGAAGGCGGCUCACUGGUCCAUUACUGACGCUGAGGUGCGAAAGCGUGGGGAGCAAACAGG